CCUGGUGGCUCAGAAGGUAAAGCAUCUGCCUCCAACGCAGGAGACAUGGGUUCGAUUCCUGGGUCAGGA
rnacentral:tRNA from 1 species